rnacentral:snRNA from 1 species
AUAUGUAAGGGUGAUCUGGCUAUGACAUCUGUCACCUCAUCGAUCUCCAGGGUUAAUUCGGCUGAUCUGACUGGCUAGGUGGUUGUCCCCUUCCUCUGUCACUGCUCCGUGUGUAUCCUUGUCAAAGCUGCUUGCUCCCUCAAAGAGGCUGAUGUUCUUGGAAUAGAGAUGGACUGGUCUUGUCAAGGAUACAUGAGAAGCUGCGUUCCCCUGAUAGAACAUCCAAAAAAGCUCUAAAAAAAAAUGCCAGCAAUUCAAGUGCAAAUACUCAAACCAAGUGGAAGACUAAAAUAUGGAUUAGUAAGUAAGGCCCAAAUUU